CCUGCCCCUAGAGGCACUGCCAAGUGCAGCUGCUGUGUUACAUGUGUGCCAGUAGGUGGCAGAGAUGGGAGAGGCUAUGUUUAUGCUCAGUGUUCUGACCUAUGGACAUUUGAAUGAUAUUCCUGGAAAA